AAAUAAGUCGUUGUAGUAUAGUGGUAAGU
rnacentral:sRNA from 1 species